rnacentral:rRNA from 1 species
UCUGGGAAACUGCCUGAUGGAGGGGGAUAACUACUGGAAACGGUAGCUAAUACCGCAUAACGUCGCAAGACCAAAGUGGGGGACCUUCGGGCCUCAUGCCAUCAGAUGUGCCCAGAUGGGAUUAGCUAGUAGGUGGGGUAACGGCUCACCUAGGCGACGAUCCCUAGCUGGUCUGAGAGGAUGACCAGCCACACUGGAACUGAGACACGGUCCAGACUCCUACGGGAGGCAGCAGUGGGGAAUAUUGCACAAUGG